rnacentral:rRNA from 1 species
CCCUUUGGGUGUGACUGCGUACCUUUUGUAUAAUGGGUCAGCGACUUAUAUUCUGUAGCAAGGUUAACCGAAUAGGGGAGCCGGAGGGAAACCGAGUCUUAAUUGGGCGUUAAGUUGCAGGGUAUAGACCCGAAACCCGGUGAUCUAGCCAUGGGCAGGUUGAAGGUUGGGUAACACUAACUGGAGGACCGAACCGACUAAUGUUGAAAAAUUAGCGGAUGACCUGUGGCUGGGGGUGAAAGGCCAAUCAAACCGGGAGAUAGCUGGUUCUCCCCGAAAGCUAUUUAGGUAGCGCCUCGUGAAUUCAUCUCCGGGGGUAGAGCACUGUUUCGGCUAGGGGGCCAUCCCGGCUUACCAACCCGAUGCAAACUGCGAAUACCGGAGAAUGUUAUCACGGGAGACACACGGCGGGUGCUAACGUCCGUCGUGAAGAGGGAAACAACCCAGACCGCCAGCUAAGGUCCCAAAGUCAUGGUUAAGUGGGAAACGAUGUGGGAAGGCCCAGACAGCCAGGAUGUUGGCUUAGAAGCAGCCAUCAUUUAAAGAAAGCGUAAUAGCUCACUGGUCGAGUCGGCCUGCGCGGAAGAUGUAACGGGGCUAAACCAUGCACCGAAGCUGCGGCAGCGACACUGUGUGUUGUUGGGUAGGGGAGCGUUCUGUAAGCCUGUGAAGGUGUGUCGUGAGGCAUGCUGGAGGUAUCAGAAGUGCGAAUGCUGACAUAAGUAACGAUAAAGCGGGUGAAAAGCCCGCUCGCCGGAAGACCAAGGGUUCCUGUCCAACGUUAAUCGGGGCAGGGUGAGUCGACCCCUAAGGCGAGGCCGAAAGGCGUAGUCGAUGGGAAACGGGUUAAUAUUCCCGUACUUGGUGUUACUGCGAAGGGGGGACGGAGAAGGCUAUGUUGGCCGGGCGACGGUUGUCCCGGUUUAAGCGUGUAGGUGUGUGUUCCAGGUAAAUCCGGUUCACUUUAACACUGAGGCGUGACGACGAGGCACUACGGUGCUGAAGCAACAAAUGCCCUGCUUCCAGGAAAAGCCUCUAAGCAUCAGGUAACAUCAAAUCGUACCCCAAACCGACACAGGUGGUCAGGUAGAGAAUACCAAGGCGCUUGAGAGAACUCGGGUGAAGGAACUAGGCAAAAUGGUGCCGUAACUUCGGGAGAAGGCACGCUGACACGUAGGUGAAGUGAUUUACUCAUGGAGCUGAAGUCAGUCGAAGAUACCAGCUGGCUGCAACUGUUUAUUAAAAACACAGCACUGUGCAAACACGAAAGUGGACGUAUACGGUGUGACGCCUGCCCGGUGCCGGAAGGUUAAUUGAUGGGGUCAGCGCAAGCGAAGCUCCUGAUCGAAGCCCCGGUAAACGGCGGCCGUAACUAUAACGGUCCUAAGGUAGCGAAAUUCCUUGUCGGGUAAGUUCCGACCUGCACGAAUGGCGUAAUGAUGGCCAGGCUGUCUCCACCCGAGACUCAGUGAAAUUGAACUCGCUGUGAAGAUGCAGUGUACCCGCGGCAAGACGGAAAGACCCCGUGAACCUUUACUAUAGCUUGACACUGAACAUUGAGCCUUGAUGUGUAGGAUAGGUGGGAGGCUUUGAAGUGUGGACGCCAGUCUGCAUGGAGCCGACCUUGAAAUACCACCCUUUAAUGUUUGAUGUUCUAACGUGGACCCGUUACCCGGGUUGCGGACAGUGUCUGGUGGGUAGUUUGACUGGGGCGGUCUCCUCCUAAAGAGUAACGGAGGAGCACGAAGGUUGGCUAAUCCUGGUCGGACAUCAGGAGGUUAGUGCAAUGGCAUAAGCCAGCUUGACUGCGAGCGUGACGGCGCGAGCAGGUGCGAAAGCAGGUCAUAGUGAUCCGGUGGUUCUGAAUGGAAGGGCCAUCGCUCAACGGAUAAAAGGUACUCCGGGGAUAACAGGCUGAUACCGCCCAAGAGUUCAUAUCGACGGCGGUGUUUGGCACCUCGAUGUCGGCUCAUCACAUCCUGGGGCUGAAGUAGGUCCCAAGGGUAUGGCUGUUCGCCAUUUAAAGUGGUACGCGAGCUGGGUUUAGAACGUCGUGAGACAGUUCGGUCCCUAUCUGCCGUGGGCGCUGGAGAACUGAGGGGGGCUGCUCCUAGUACGAGAGGACCGGAGUGGACGCAUCACUGGUGUUCGGGUUGUCAUGCCAAUGGCACUGCCCGGUAGCUAAAUGCGGAAGAGAUAAGUGCUGAAAGCAUCUAAGCACGAAACUUGCCCCGAGAUGAGUUCUCCCUGAGACUUAGAGUCUCCUGAAGGAACGUUGAAGACGACGACGUUGAUAGGCCGGGUGUGUA